GGCUGCGAUCAUACCAGCACUAGUGCAUCGGAUCCCAUUAGAACUCCGCAGUUAAAUGUGCUUGGCUGAGAGUAGUACAAGGAUGGGUGACCUCCUGGAAUGUCCUCGUGUUGCACCCC
rfam:Gossypium arboreum cultivar AKA8401 contig_85016_1, whole genome shotgun sequence.